rnacentral:rRNA from 1 species
GAUGAACGUUGGCGGCGUGCCUAAUACAUGCAAGUCGAACGAAGACUGUAGUAAUACUGUCUUAGUGGCGAACGGGUGAGUAACGCGUGGGUGACCUGCCCCGAAGUGUGGGAUAACAGUCCGAAAGGAUUGCUAAUACUGCAUAAUAUCCAAGAGAUUAGAUGCUUUUGGAUUAAAGGAGUAAUUCGCUUUGGGAGGGGCCCGCGUCCCAUCAGCUAGUUGGUAAGGUAAUGGCUUACCAAGGCGAUGACGGGUAGGGGACCUGAGAGGGUGGCCCCCCACAAUGGAACUGAAACACGGUCCAUACACCUACGGGUGGCAGCAGUAGGGAAUAUUAGUAAUGGGCGAAAGCCUGAACUAGCAACGCCGCGUGUGCGAAGAAGGCCUUCGGGUCGUAAAGCACUUUUGUAGAGGAUGAGGAAGGGCGGUACUCUCAGAAUAAGUCUCGGCUAACUACGUGCCAGCAGCCGCGGUAAACUCGUCUA